AGGGAUGGGCACAUGACAGAGCUUGGGCCAAUCAGAGGCCUCUCCUAGGAGUGAUUUGAGGAGAGCUCAGAGAGGCAGCAUUUUAACCCAAGAGGUUGGAGGGAGGGAUCGGAAGCGAGGCUUCCAGAGAACCUGUUUUUGGUGGCUGGAAAAGCCGCAUGUCCACUGGACAGAAUGAAAGCAUGUGAGGCUUUCAAUUACAAAUCAUCCUGGCAUUGGUUCAAAGUGCCCCAACAGCCCCUGGAGCCCUGCGGCUGGGCAGAGCGGCCCACGUGGCUUUUUCGAUCUCCAGGGUGUGACAACGUCGCUGUGGCCUUGGCAGUGAUGGAGGAGGGGCGCUGGGAACACGCUGGAAGACAGGCAUCGUACUGAAAUCAAAUUUACCAGCACACGUAUUCUUGGGUCUUUGUGCAGAUCCAUGGUUCUCAAGUUGCAAAGACAGUGAAUGGAACCCUUCCCUCGACCUCAGCACCCAAAGCCCCGACGGAUCUUUAGAAAAAUGUCUACAUUUCAAACAAAAAGUGAUAACUCGGGCUGCCAAGAUCAUGUUGCUGUGGUGUUGAUUCUUUGCUGAGGAAUGUGCCCAUGAGGUAUCUGUUUACAACACUAAUUGCCAAUGAACAAGUGAGAAAUAGUGCUCUUGGCCAAAAUAUAUUCUGUUGCUAGAAAACAAUACAGCUAAAGUAUUUGUGAAAUUAUCAGAACACAGUCACUUAUUCAUAAUAUUGUACAAGAUGUCCUUGUCCCCAGAAAUGCUCCUAUCCUCAUCCAAGACUGUCUUUAGAAGCAAACGUUUCCCAACAAAAUCGAGUUUUGUUCUCAAUUUGUCUUAACAAGGAAUGACAUAAGUUUACCAGACAAAGGAGUUCCAUUUUUUGUUCCCUGUGUUUAAUCUGUGCAGACAGAAGGCUGUAAAUAUCAUAAGUGGUUGUUGCCGGCUGGCCGUGGAGGGGCCCAGUUCGUUAAGGACCAUGGUUCGCUGGUUUCUUGUAUGGCCUCCAAGGGCCAAGAGAGUGCUUCCCCAUCAUCACUAUGAGGCCUGGUGAACAAAAGCUGGGGCCCAGGAGCCUGUGUGGAUGGAUGGUGUGACCUCUGACCUCCACUAGCGGGGCCUGGAGGGAAAGAGGCAAAGUCAGGCUCCAGUAACGUUUAAUGACAGAUCUUGUUAGGGUUAAAAAAACAGCUCCGGCAUCCAGCUGGGACUUCAUCGGGGGAGGUGCUCAGAGGGCCUUCAGCCGCUGACAGGCACGGGGCCCCAUGCACGGUUGCAACAGGUGCUGGCUAAGCAGUCUUUUUGAUCCUGCCCUUGUCAAGGACCCCCACCUCGUCAGUCUGACUCCACAGGAAGAUUCGUUCUUUUUUUC
rnacentral:lncRNA from 1 species